GACGAACGCUGGCGGCGUGCUUAACACAUGCAAGUCGAACGGAAAGGCCCUGCUUUUGUGGGGUGCUCGAGUGGCGAACGGGUGAGUAACACGUGAGUAACCUGCCCUUGACUUUGGGAUAACUUCAGGAAACUGGGGCUAAUACCGGAUAGGAGCUCCUGCUGCAUGGUGGGGGUUGGAAAGUUUCGGCGGUUGGGGAUGGACUCGCGGCUUAUCAGCUUGUUGGUGGGGUAGUGGCUUACCAAGGCUUUGACGGGUAGCCGGCCUGAGAGGGUGACCGGCCACAUUGGGACUGAGAUACGGCCCAGACUCCUACGGGAGGCAGCAGUGGGGAAUAUUGCACAAUGGGCGGAAGCCUGAUGCAGCAACGCCGCGUGCGGGAUGACGGCCUUCGGGUUGUAAACCGCUUUCGCCUGUGACGAAGCGUGAGUGACGGUAAUGGGUAAAGAAGCACCGGCUAACUACGUGCCAGCAGCCGCGGUGAUACGUAGGGUGCGAGCGUUGUCCGGAUUUAUUGGGCGUAAAGGGCUCGUAGGUGGUUGAUCGCGUCGGAAGUGUAAUCUUGGGGCUUAACCCUGAGCGUGCUUUCGAUACGGGUUGACUUGAGGAAGGUAGGGGAGAAUGGAAUUCCUGGUGGAGCGGUGGAAUGCGCAGAUAUCAGGAGGAACACCAGUGGCGAAGGCGGUUCUCUGGGCCUUUCCUGACGCUGAGGAGCGAAAGCGUGGGGAGCGAACAGGCUUAGAUACCCUGGUAGUCCACGCUGUAAACGGUGGGUACUAGGUGUGGGGUCCAUUCCACGGGCUCCGUGCCGUAGCUAACGCUUUAAGUACCCCGCCUGGGGAGUACGGCCGCAAGGCUAAAACUCAAAGGAAUUGACGGGGCCCCGCACAAGCGGCGGAGCAUGCGGAUUAAUUCGAUGCAACGCGUAGAACCUUACCCGGGUUUGACAUGGAUCGGGAGCGCUCAGAGAUGGGUGUGCCUCUUUCGGGGUCGGUUCACAGGUGGUGCAUGGCUGUCGUCAGCUCGUGUCGUGAGAUGUUGGGUUAAGUCCCGCAACGAGCGCAACCCUUGUUCACUGUUGCCAGCACGUUAUGGUGGGGACUCAGUGGAGACCGCCGGGGUCAACUCGGAGGAAGGUGGGGAUGACGUCAAGUCAUCAUGCCCCUUAUGUCCAGGGCUUCACGCAUGCUACAAUGGCUGGUACAGAGAGUGGCGAGCCUGUGAGGGUGAGCGAAUCUCGGAAAGCCGGUCUCAGUUCGGAUUGGGGUCUGCAACUCGACCUCAUGAAGUCGGAGUCGCUAGUAAUCGCAGAUCAGCAACGCUGCGGUGAAUACGUCCCCGGGGCU
rnacentral:rRNA from 1 species